rnacentral:ncRNA from 2 species
UAAAACGGAAGAGGAGCGUUACCCAGGUAUUUAGAUUGCAGGGCCCCACCCUAAAGCAACCUAAAGAGGGGGAGUAACGCCGAGAUAUAACUGAUUGGGGCUCAGCGAUAUCGGCUAUGAAGGUUGAAUCCUUCUGGCUGUCACCUUUUUAUGCAUAAGUACCAUAUAAAAAGGUGGGGAGCUUCUGGUUGU